UACAGAGGUCCCAAGCGUUGUUCGGAUUCACUGGGCGUAAAGGGUGCGUAGGCGGUCGGGUAAGUCUGAUGUGAAAUCUCACAGCUUAACUGUGAAACUGCAUUGGAUACUAUCCGGCUCGAGGAAUGGAGGGGAGACUGGAAUACUUGGUGUAGCAGUGAAAUGCGUAGAUAUCUGGAGGAACACCGGUGGCGAAGGCGGCGUCCUGGACCAACACUGACACUGAGGAGCGAAAGCCAGGGGAGCAAACGGG
rnacentral:rRNA from 1 species